AUUGAACGCUGGCGGUAGGCUUUACACAUGCAAGUCGAACGAGUGGCGGACGGGUGAGUAAUGUCUGGGAAACUGCCUGAUGGAGGGGGAUAACUACUGGCAACGGUAGCUAAUACCGCAUACCAUUGGAUGUGCCCAGAUGGGAUUAGCUAGUAGGUGGGGUAAAGGCUCACCUAGGCGACGAACCUUAGCUGGUCUGAGAAGAAGACCAGCCACACAUGAACUGAGACACGGUCCAGACUCAUACGGGAGGCAGCAGUGGGGAAUAUUGCACAAUAGGAGCAACCCUGAUGCAGCCAUGCCGCGUGUAUGAAGAAGGCCUUCGGGUUGUAAAGUACUUUCAGCGGAGAAGCGUUACCCGCAGAAGAAGCACCGGCUAACUACGUGCCAGCAGCCGCGGUAAUUC
rnacentral:rRNA from 1 species